UCAAUUCCAUUUAAAUACUCCAAUGGUGUGUAAUGUUAGUGGGCCUACCAGGGUUGGGCUCAAUUCCAUUUAAAUACUCCAAUGGUGUGUAAUGUUAGUGGGCCUACCAGGGUUGGGCUCAAUUCCAUUUAAAUACUCCAAUGGUGUGUAAUGUUAGAGGGCCUACCAGGGUUGGGCUCAAUUCCAUUUAAAUACUCCAAUGGUGUGUAAUGUUAGUGGGCCUACCAGGGUUGGGCUCAAUUCCAUUUAAAUACUCCAAUGGUGUGUAAUGUUAGAGGGCCUACCAGGGUUGGGCUCAAUUCCAUUUAAAUACUCCAAUGGUGUGUAAUGUUAGAGGGCCUACCAGGGUUGGGCUCAAUUCCAUUUAAAUACUCCAAUGGUGUGUAAUGUUAGAGGGCCUACCAGGGUUGGGCUCAAUUCCAUUUAAAUACUCCAAUGGUGUGUAAUGUUAGUGGGCCUACCAGGGUUGGGCUCAAUUCCAUUUAAAUACUCCAAUGGUGUGUAAUGUUAGAGGGCCUACCAGGGUUGGGCUCAAUUCCAUUUAAAUACUCCAAUGGUGUGUAAUGUUAGAGGGCCUACCAGGGUUGGGCUCAAUUCCAUUUAAAUACUCCAAUGGUGUGUAAUGUUAGUGGGCCUACCAGGGUUGGGCUCAAUUCCAUUUAAAUACUCCAAUGGUGUGUAAUGUUAGAGGGCCUACCAGGGUUGGGCUCAAUUCCAUUUAAAUACUCCAAUGGUGUGUAAUGUUAGAGGGCCUACCAGGGUUGGGCUCAAUUCCAUUUAAAUACUCCAAUGGUGUGUAAUGUUAGAGGGCCUACCAGGGUUGGGCUCAAUUCCAUUUAAAUACUCCAAUGGUGUGUAAUGUUAGAGGGCCUACCAGGGUUGGGCUCAAUUCCAUUUAAAUACUCCAAUGGUGUGUAAUGUUAGAGGGCCUACCAGGGUUGGGCUCAAUUCCAUUUAAAUACUCCAAUGGUGUGUAAUGUUAGAGGGCCUACCAGGGUUGGGCUCAAUUCCAUUUAAAUACUCCAAUGGUGUGUAAUGUUAGAGGGCCUACCAGGGUUGGGCUCAAUUCCAUUUAAAUACUCCAAUGGUGUGUAAUGUUAGUGGGCCUACCAGGGUUGGGCUCAAUUCCAUUUAAAUACUCCAAUGGUGUGUAAUGUUAGUGGGCCUACCAGGGUUGGGCUCAAUUCCAUUUAAAUACUCCAAUGGUGUGUAAUGUUAGAGGGCCUACCAGGGUUGGGCUCAAUUCCAUUUAAAUACUCCAAUGGUGUGUAAUGUUAGAGGGCCUACCAGGGUUGGGCUCAAUUCCAUUUAAAUACUCCAAUGGUGUGUAAUGUUAGUGGGCCUACCAGGGUUGGGCUCAAUUCCAUUUAAAUACUCCAAUGGUGUGUAAUGUUAGAGGGCCUACCAGGGUUGGGCUCAAUUCCAUUUCAAUCCCAGUCGAUUCAGGAAGUACACUGAAAUUCCAAUUCUCUUCGAUGCUUUUCAACGAGGAACAUGUGGAAUUGGAACUUGGUUUACGUUCUGAAUUGACGGAAUGGAAUUGACCCCAAGCCUGGAGUCUUGGGCCAUGUCUCGUGGUCAACGUCUUGGUACACCACAGUCCCUUUAGCCACUACUAGUGUACAGACAGAUGGGCUGUCUGUAUAAAUGGGUUUGUUCAUACUGGCUGUACUGAAAAGCACCCACAUCCUACCGUUGCUGUUCCUGUGUGACAUCAUCAUGUUCCAGGUUCCUUCCAGCAGGUUUGGGGUCCAAUUUAUUUUACUAUUCAGUCAAUUCAGAGAGUCGAUUUGAAAUUUGAGUUUUGUUUCCUGGAUGGACAGAACUGAUAGGGAAUUGACCCCCGACCCUGCAAACAAUAGUCCAUUUGUACAGGGGCCCCCUGGUGGUUGUUGUAGAAUGUCUUAGUUCAGUCUGAGUUUUCCUUCCGAACGUCGUUGUGAACAAGGAAAACAGAAAGGGACAGCGUUUACCACACAAUGCUGUCCGACAGCCAUGUUUCAUAGGAGGAGUUUGGGUUCCAAAGUGUUGUCUUCUGUUACCUGUUCUCUCAUUGUAUCAUAUUGUACAAAUCAUUAUUAUUGGGUUCUAACUUGCAUUAUAUUUUUUUCUACCUACAUUUUAAAAGAGUUUGUAAACUAUAGGAAUUGUACAAAAAGUACUUUAAUAGAUAUUGUUUAUUAAAGAAAGGAACUGUUAGUGGAAAAAAAUGAUUAUUUGCCAAACUCCUUUUUUCAAUUCUAGAAUAUGAUGAUUUUCACGGAGUUCUAGAAUGGGUUCCGUUGGUUCCAUUUACGAUGUAAACAUUCCUUAUUUCCUCUGUUUUGGUCUCAGAACACCAGACACUAUAAAGAACUACGCAGUGAAUGAAACAAUUCAUUACUCACUGGGCACAGACGUCAGUUCAACAUCUAUUCCACGUUGGUUCAACGUCAUUUUGUUGAUUCAACCAGUGAACAGGCCAUUGGGUCUUCAUAUUGUAUGGACUUUACAUUGGUGGGAGGGGAGGGGAGGCGAUUUUGAUAUUUGCAUUUUUCUGUUCUGGAAAUGUGUUUACCAGAAUGUUAGUAUUUUUUGACCGGAGGAAAAACCAUAGUGUGUAUUUAGAUGUCUACAACAAUGUUCAUACAAUAUUCCAUCACUGCCAACAACCCCCUGUGUUUUGUAGCAUGGCAAAAUAAUAAUUAAAAAAUGGAACUAA